CAUAAUUUCACAGUACCAACAACAUAACAAAAUAAUGUAAACUAUUUGAACCGUAUAACUAGUGUUAUUUUGUCUAAUAAUUAGUGAGUUAGAUAGCUAGCUAUAAUACAAGACAAUAAAGGGUACAUAAAAACUUCUGACACUUGAACAUAUGAUGAAGUCUUCCACAUGUCAAAUAUUUCGACAUCAUAACCUGAAAUAAUAAAAUAAGAUGGAUAUCAACAUUAUUUAUGAUAGGACAUAGUAUUACUACUGCUUUAUAACAUUUGACUACUAACAAUCAGACUCUGCACUUUGUCUAUGCACUUAUUUGUAACAAUAGUCCUAUUUGCAAGAAAUUAAAUUGUAUAGGCACAAUUUCGAGCUGGAGAACAAAAGUAUAGAUCCCAAAAUAUAUGUGCUUCAAAACUUAGAUAUGCAUAAAGAAUAAUUUAAAGAUAUUCAACUUAAAGUAAUUGGUUUGAAUCUAAGCUUUUCAUGAGGUGCAAGCUAGAAAGAAACUUUAAAGAUUAUAGCAUUUAUACAAGCUUUGCCAACGUGUAUUAUAUUUGCGUUCAAUAAUUACCUAUAUACUUUUAUUUGUUUUGUUUUUGGUUAAGCCCGCUAAAUGAAUAAGAGAAAUUACAUGAAGUUCCUCAAAUAAAAAAUGCAUAGAGGAGUACAAAAUCUAUUUUAAAUUAAGACUACAUACUAAAAGUUUACUUGGAGAAAGAAUCAAACAUUUAUAAACUAAUAAAAUCCUCGCUAGCUAAGUUACAAAUUAAGAGAGAGCAUACUAAUAAACAUUUACAGUGAAGAGUUGCAGAAACGGGAAUGGGCUUUUUGAGUGUUUGUACAUACUUGUUAGAUUUGCCAGAGAAGAUUUCAGGGAUUGAGAAUUCGAUUUGUUGUUCCUAUUGUAUAACAUUUUGCUUAGUAAAGUAAGGUGGUAGAGUUUUCUACCGCAUACAACAAAAGAAAGUUGUAAAUGACCAAACUCGUAUAUUAACAUUCCAUGGAGUACGCAAACAAUCAGAAUGCAAAUAUCGAUGAAAUGAAAGACAAAAACUCAUGUCGAACCUGGCUUGUUGGGUGUUUCUUGUUUUGCUUUCUUUGCCAGAGCCAGGAGCUACUUAGGAGAUGGAGCUGGUCUCUUUUUCUUUUCAACCUUCAUCAUAAAACAUCAAUCACAUAAAAGACAAUGCUAAUUAAGAUAAAUGAAAAAAAUGAACAAACAUAAAGAUAAAAAAUUUAGUACUACCUCUUUUUGAUGUCUCUUCUUCUAAAUCUUCAUCUCCAUCCAAAUCAUCAAAAAAAUCCAUUACUUAAGGACCAUAAAAAUCCUAGUAAUCCAAAAUUUAAAAAAACUACCUACACCCGGAAAAAAUAUAAGAUAAAGCAUUUCUCCCUGUAUUAAAAGGUAAAAUCUACAUAAUAAGCAUCACAAAAAACUUUAUGAAUGGCAUAGGCACAUCACUGGAGACAUCAUCACUACCAUCUUCAUUAUCCGAGUCAUCUUCAAAAUCAUCAUCAUCUUUGUUAGAUGUCGGUUCUUUUUUUGGUUCUGCCACCUUCGCAUUUUUCUCAAUAAAUGCAACCUUAGUAAGUGCAGACUUUUUUGAAUCAUGCUUUAUAUCCUUCACAUUAUCCUCAAGUUUUCCAUUUAUGCAUCUAAAACAUUCUCUUCAUGUAAAAAAAUAUCACCUCUAGAAUCAAUUUCAUCAACGCUCAGAUCAUCAAUUGUGCAUACAAUUAAAUACACACUCCCAUUUGUUUUAGUCAUGACUCAUGUAAAAUUUUAAACUCCUUUUCAAGGACCAAGUCAAACAUCAACUAAGGUCUAUCCUCUGCCGGUAGAGUUCCAAUGAUGUAAUUAUUUUCUCCAACAGUUAGGCGUAGAGGAACAUGUUUUACUUCUUUGGCAUACUUCACUUCAUCUAUUGCAGCCUACAAAAUAAAGAUCCCUAAUAGCCAUUUAAGAGUAAAGCCACAUUAUGCUAGCUUGAGAAAGAACACAAAUAUAAUUUAUUUAUUUUUAAAAAAAGAAAGCUAACCUUGUAAAUAUGAAUGAGCUUAUAAAGUUCAGGCUUGAUUUAGAAAUCGUCUUACUUUCACUUCAACACCUACACAUAGCUCAUGUGAAAGAUAUGUCACACUUUAAUAAAUUAUGUUCAUAUGGUGUAAUUUCUGCAUCAUGAAAAUAAUUGACCAAAACCGUUAAGGUAUAGAUUAAAAAAAUAAGCACAUGUGUUAGUGGUUCAAUUUAUGUAUAUACAUAUACAAACCGAUCUAUACCUUUUUCUAGUUAUUUGGUUUUGAUUCUAGUAUGCAAUUUUAACUCCUAUUUUCUCUGCAUCUAGUUGCUAGAAACAUAAAAAAAUUCCUUUAAAUGAUACAAACAUCUGUAGCAGAAAAAUCAUGACGUCUUAAGCCUUCAAGAUUCAAUCCAUGAAGCUUAACUUUUUUUCUCAGAUACAAUAAUAUACUUUGGAACAUCGUUAGAAACCUGGAGAACAAAAUGACUAAGAUCCUAAAAAGAUAUGUGAUCUUAAAUAUAGUUAGUGUGUUGCAGUCGUAUAAUAUAUGUGGAUCUUUUUCAUUCCUUGGUGGUGGUUCAGUGGUAAGAUUCUUUCUUAAUUUUUGAUGUCUUUUAAUUCUUUGAAAGACUCAAUACUCCUCGUAUGAUAAAUUAAGAUAUCAAUAGUUUCAUAUUUUGGUUGUUUUUCCUAAAUGCAAACAUAAUUCAAGAUAGCAAUACAUCUGUAAUUGCUAUACUUUUAAGUUUGUUUGUGAGAUGCACCUCAUUAAAGUUUAGUUUCGAACCACUUACUUUAAGUUGAAUAUAUUAAAAUUAGGUCUUCUACAUUUCUCAGAUUGAAAGCACAUGAACCAAUACGGUAAAUUAAUGAACAACAAUAGCUCCUGUAGUGUGGCCGUAGUCCUGUAUGUGAAGAAUUUAAAUUAUCAUCUAUCAGUUAUACUAAAUUUCCAGAAUAGGUCAUGCCUCAUGAAAAUGACUAAAACGAAAUAGUCAACCACAACAUGACCUGCAAGAAAUGUGGUGUUUUUCACUAGAAAGCAAUACAUAUUCUUUCAAUACGUUAAAACUAAAGUGUAUCUAUUUGAAGAUACAAAGAUUUAGUUGGUUGUGUAUAUACAAGGACAUCAAUUAAGAUUUCAGUCUCAAGUUUAUUCAUUUCCAAAUUUUCUAUAAUGGAUCUAAGAACGGAUUGAAGCUUUUAUCUGUAAGAGUUAUUGGCAUUCCACACAAGUUGAAUUAGAUUAGCCUUAUAUGAAACAAAUGCAUUAAUACUACAAAGUAGAAAUAUAUUCUUUUGCUUUGAUCGCUCAUUUAUUUCCUAUUAGUAUAGUAAAUUUUUAAUCAAACAUGAGUUCAUGAAGGAAUUUUUUUAUCCCUUAUAAACUUAUUAGUGAAUCAAAAGCUACUUAAUCUUUGCAAGAGAGUGAUAAGCAGUAUAACACAAUUAUAGCAUCCAAAUUACAAAUGACAUAAUAAUGCAUGAGGGAUAUCUUAAUAAAAUCAAAUUUCCUAUAACUUCUGGGAUUAUAUUUAUAGGAAAACAAGGAAUUUCACCUCAAAGGGAUAAGGGGCAGAACACAUAGGGUACAACCUCCACUAAUAAUACUGAUAAUUAUCACUAGCGAUAGUAAUAUUUUUGAGAUAGAACAAGAAAUAGUAUUGUUAUACUUUGUGGAUACACUCUACUCCAAGAUUUUCCUGAUCGGGACCUAGACUUUAGGUACUUUUUUAACACAUGAAUUUGUACAUCAGCAAAUCUACACAGGAAAGAAGCACAUACAUGAAGAAAGUAAUCUGAAGAUCUCAUUCAGUAACCUCUAAAAAUUCAUAAGCAUUUUUAUUUCCUAAAAUCUUAUACUCUUAGGAAACAUAAAUUGAUUGGAGUACACACACUAAUUCACCAACCUCUAAAAUUUCAAGAGAAUUUAGAUUUCCUAGCUUCUUACAAUUCCGCAGCAAUAAGACUCAAAGUCCUUCAAAUAUCGAUAGUUGAUGUUUGGAUAAAAGACAACUAGAAGGGACACUCUCCUCUCAUCUUCAAUGUUUCUCUCUUUGGUGAAUUCAACAUACAUAAUCUAAUGUUAUUCCUGUUUGAUCAAAAUAUUCAUCCGAGAACCUACGUUAUUUGGUAAUCAUACAGACAUAUAUUCAUGUGCGCUCUAGUUAUAUACAAACAUGAUUAUUCAAGAAAUCACCAUCCAUGUUUUUACAUAACUUCAAUUAGACUACAGAUCACACAUUAGUCACCUUAUAAUGUAAUAUAUAUUGAUGUUUUCAAGAAAUUAAAACAAAUCUCAAUCACAGAGAGAUCUGAAUGCUAUAGAUUCAGGUAAAAAACAUCAAUUUUUAUUAAUGAUACACAGAGAACUUCUGAACAACCAAAGUAAAGAUAAAAGAAUCGGCGAAACAGAGGAAUCAAAUCAAGUGAUUUUCCAUCAAUUCAACAGCAGUCAGAGAUCAUAUAUUAUGAUUUAACAAACUCAAGAAAUCUAUAAUUUCACAAAUCAUAGAUUGCCAUAGUUAGACAUCACAAAAUGCAAUUUGACAUGGUAUCAAGUAUUUCGGUACUUGAUAAGAAGAAUAUUUUACCAAAAAAGACCAAAAUGUUAAGGAGAAGAAUUAUUAAGGUAACAAUCUGAAACUUACAUGAAUGUAGAAGAUGAAGAUGAUGACAAGGAGAAGAUUUAAACAUCGGUGGUUCAGCAAUAUCGACCUAAAGUCAUGACUCUGACUAUAAAUAGAUGAUGUCUAGUGAUGGGU
rnacentral:lncRNA from 1 species